UACGUAGGGUGCGAGCGUUAAUCGGAAUUACUGGGCGUAAAGCGUGCGCAGGCGGUUCGUUAAGUCAGAUGUGAAAGCCCCGGGCUCAACCUGGGAACUGCAUUUGAAACUGGCGGGCUUGAGUGUGGCAGAGGGGGGUGGAAUUCCGCGUGUAGCAGUGAAAUGCGUAGAUAUGCGGAGGAACACCGAUGGCGAAGGCAAUCCCCUGGACCUGUACUGACGCUCAUGCACGAAAGCGUGGGGAGCAAACAGG
rnacentral:rRNA from 1 species